AAUUAAUGAGCUUGAAUAGCAUAUGUUUUGAAAACAUAAAAUAGUAGUAAAAUCUACUAUUAAUUU
rnacentral:tRNA from 1 species